rnacentral:rRNA from 1 species
UUCCGAUAGGUGAACCUGCGGAAGGAUCAUUA